AGAGUUUGAUCCUGGCUCAGGACGAACGCUGGCGGCGUGCUUAACACAUGCAAGUCACGGGGGGGUAGCAAUACUCAACCGGCGAACGGGUGCGUAACACGUGAGCGACCUACCUUCCUGCGGGGGAUAGCCGGCCCAACGGCCGGGUAAUACCGCAUACGUUCUUUUCGGGGCAUACCGGGGAGAAGAAACCUUUUGGGGCGGGGAGAGGGGCUCGCGGCCUAUCAGCUAGUUGGCGGGGUAAUGGCCCACCAAGGCGGUGACGGGUAGCUGGUCUGAGAGGAUGGCCAGCCACAUUGGGACUGAGAGACGGCCCAGACUCCUACGGGAGGCAGCAGUGGGGAAUCUUGCGCAAUGGCCUAACGGCUGACGCAGCGACGCCGCGUGGGGGAGGAAGGGCUUCGGCUCGUAAACCCCUGUUGCCCGGGGCGAACAUCCCUUUUCGAGGGGACUGACGGUACCGGGUGAGGAAGCACCGGCUAACUCCGUGCCAGCAGCCGCGGUAAUACGGAGGGUGCGAGCGUUGUCCGGAAUCACUGGGCGUAAAGGGCGCGUAGGCGGCCGAGCAAGGUCGCGGUGAAAGCCCGGGGCUCAACCCCGGGUCGGCCGUGGCAACUACUCGGCUCGAGCACUGUAGGGGCGGGUGGAAUUCCGGGUGUAGCGGUGGAAUGCGUAGAGAUCCGGAAGAACACCGGUGGCGAAGGCGGCCCGCUGGGCAGGAAGGCUCGCAAGAGCCGGCUGACGCUGAGGCGCGACAGCGUGGGGAGCAAACAGGAUUAGAUACCCUGGUAGUCCACGCCGUAAACGAUGGGCACUAGGUGCUUGGGGGAGCGACCCUCCGAGUGCCGGCGCUAACGCAUUAAGUGCCCCGCCUGGGGAGUACGGCCGCAAGGCUGAAACUCAAAGGAAUUGACGG
rnacentral:rRNA from 1 species